CGCCUUGCCAGCCGCUCAGAAACUCAAAGGAAUUGACGGGGGCCCGCACAAGCGGUGGAGUAUGUGGUUUAAUUCGAUGCAACGCGAAGAACCUUACCUGGUCUUGACAUCCCGGAGACCCUUAGGAAACUAGGGGGUGCUUCCAUCUGGAAGAAUCUGGAGACAGGUGCUGCAUGGCUGUCGUCAGCUCGUGUCGUGAGAUGUUGGGUUAAGUCCCGCAACGAGCGCAACCCUUGCCUUUAGUUGCCAGCAGUUCGGCUGGGCACUCUAAAGGGACUGCCGGUGUUAAACCGGAGGAAGGUGGGGAUGACGUCAAGUCCUCAUGGCCUUUAUGACCAGGGCUACACACGUACUACAAUGGCCGAUACAAAGGGCAGCGACACUGCGAGGUGAAGCCAAUCCCGUAAAAUCGGUCUCAGUCCGGAUUGGAGUCUGCAACUCGACUCCAUGAAGUUGGAAUCGCUAGUAAUCGUGGAUCAGCAUGCCACGGUGAAUACGUUCCCGGGCCUU
rnacentral:rRNA from 1 species